rnacentral:rRNA from 1 species
UACGUAGGGGGCAAGCGUUAUCCGGAAUGAUUGGGCGUAAAGGGCGCGCAGGCGGCCCGACAAGUCAGUAGUGGAAGUCCAUUUUUCAAGGGUGGAAGUGCUAUUGAAACUGCAGGGCUUGAGUGCAGGAGAGGUUAUCGGAAUUCCCGGUGUAGCGGUGAAAUGCGUAGAGAUCGGGAGGAACACCAGUGGCGAAGGCGGGUAACUGGACUGCAACUGACGCUGAGGCGCGAAAGCCAGGGGAGCAAACAGG